CGGCUAAAGCAGGCAGGGCGGUCCCAGGGAAACACCGCGCUUCAUGUGCGGCUGCCGCGGGUGCAGAAACCCUUCCAGACAGACGGACACCUCCUCUUAGUUACAGUUCAGCCGUGCCUUGGGCAAGUCUGAAUUCCCUCCGGACACGCCUGAGGAAAUGGAGCAGCAGUCCCGUGACGCGCCGGGAGCGCUGGGCUGCAUCCCGCUCUUUAUUCUCAGAGCCUGCCAGCUCUGUAGGAGCUCCUUUAUGGCUCCGCGGGGAGGUGCAGGGCUUGCAGAUAGAUGUCUAUUAUAACAAAACAAGGCAGAAACUGUCCAAGAUUGCUGGUGACUCCUUUUAAUGUCACUCUUUCUUCCUCUGCUCAUAACUAAAAACUCUCUCUCCUCUAACUACCUGUGCAGUCCCGGUGCUCCCAGCCUCCAGGUGUUCCCAGGUGUUCCUCCUGACCCUCACGCUAACUGGGCCUAGGUACCUUCUUACUUGUUUUCAACAAAAUAUUCCCGUGGUGUGUAGCGUGACAAUUCAGGUGACAAGGACUGAAAUACUCUGCUUUGUGCUAAUUUGGCUGGAAGGAUUAAACUACAUCUUAUUAUACCAUGACAAGGAAUACCUAGGAAAAUAAGUGUUUCCUGUUGCCCAUUAUUGCAGGUGUGCAAGAUAUUAACAAUGUACAGGCUGGACGGUCAAAACUGCCAUUGCCCCCAGUAAAUAUUUGCUAGAUUUUCCUUUCAAAGUAAAAAUUAUCUUUCCUUGUCCUGACUUCCGCUGGUAGGGUUUGUAUCAGUAGAUGCUGCUGAAGUACUGGGGUCACUGAGGGGAACAUCUGCAAGGAGCACCUGUAGGGCUGAAAUAGGUUUUCUGUCAGAUCCCUGUAUCCUGGUGCAGAGGGAGGAUGCUCUUUCACAGACUAAAGAGAAAUGUUCACUUAUGUUUUUGGAGUACCUUUAAUUGUGUAAAAAUAUUUGUUUCAGACCUGUAGCAUUAUGACUGUUAUUCUUCUCCCGCUAGGGCUGGAGUUCAGCAUCUAGUGAGAUGAGUCAUUAUUAAUUUUAGUACCUCUUUUGGAAGGUAAGAAACAUUUUAUCGACAAAGUGCUACAGGACCUUAUUUUGAACAAGUUUUGUCCUUUCUGCACUUACAGAAGAGCUUGCAAGAGGAAUGGGUGUAGUCCCACUUUGACCAUAGCACCUUAUAUUUUGUUUUUGAAUAGUAUUUGUUGGACAAAAAAGAUACAAUGUAAAGGGAAUUUUUCACAAAAUCUUUCAAUAAAUUCAUGUAUUAAAAUGUAUUCCUUCCUCAGUCAUUUUACUGUCAUCAUUCCACGUGGCAUAUCUUAUUUGUAGGGUGAGAUCUCUCUUGGAACAGUGACUCAUCUUUUCCUUAUAAAGCACCAUGCACGCAGAACAGUAUUAAUAAAGGAAUAAUGAUGGAAUCUGCUCAUCUCUUAGACACUGGGUCAGAGAUGACUGAUUCUGUGUCAGAUGCCAAUAAGGUUGACAUCUAGUUUGUGUUGUAUCUUGGAUAAAGCUGGGGAUUGAUAAUACAAGGACUAUAAAGUACAGAGGCCCGUGGAUGCAGACUCAAAGCAAUUGGGUCUUAAAAUAGAAACCAGGGAUCAAAACCCUAAAGAAGAUGCACCAUCAAUGCAAGCAGUUUGCAUUAUAUUCAGCUGAGAUUCUCAAUAUCACUGGCAAUCAUGGCCUAAAACUGGUAGAUCUCAUGACAUAAUGCAAUAGUGCUAUUCCACUGAAUAAGGAGAGCACGUAAAAACAGUUAUCUGUCCAAGAAAUUAAUUUCACUACUGAAUGUGUAAAUUCAUUUCUUUGCUACUGAGAGAUCAUUCUACAUAAAUAGUUAACCUUGGAUAAAAUGUGGUAAGUUUGCAAUUCUUAUUUCCUGAAACUUCUGCUGAUUAUCUGAAGCAUGAAGUUAUAAUUUUAUUGAGAAGGGUGUGGCAAAGACACAGUCUGGUGCUUCUCAACAAUAAGACAGAGUUUGAAUACUCACUGUAAGCUGCUUAAACCAGUCUCUGCCUACUCUUAUAUAUACAUUGCUACAGUAUGGUGCUAUUGGCGUAGUAUGUCAGUACUUAAUGUUUGAAGCAAUAAAUACAGAGUGCUUUUAAAUAAUUGAUAUGAACAGAUUCCAGACAAACUAGUUCAUAAAUUUUCAGUCUUGAACAAUGUAAUCCUUAGCAGAUGCUCAUGAUUAGGGACAUAGGUAUUUUAAAAAUGUAAUAAAAUGCUUAUAUUCAUUCUCAGAUCUAUCAUAUUAACAUAAUUAUCUGCUUUAGUUUGGGAUGAUCCUGAAAAACUUCAUCACUUCUUUAGUUAGUAUCAGAUAUUUAUAGCUUAAGCAAAAUAGAAAAUGACAGAAGAGUGGACAAGCUGUUUAUAUUGGCUAAAGAAAUAAUUAUCAGAUUAUUCAUGGCACUGUAAAGAGUAGGAAUGAUAAGCCCAGCCGUUGUAAUGUGAUUAGCUAAUGUUAGUUAAGCAUUGCGGAGACAGAAAGAACUCUACAAAGGUUAAGCAUUAUUAUUAUCACUGUUAAUUCAGAGUGAUGGAAAGCACAGUGAAACCACUUACCACGUGCCAUGUAAAGCUUGCAGAAAUCGAAAUUUAGAGCUGAGGGAUGGAAUAAAGAGCAUUACCAGCUGGUGAGCUCUUUCUCUUUGUUCCUGGCUGAGGUCUGAGUAGCUGGUCAUUUGAAAAGAUACCUCAUAGACAGGGACAAAGACACAGAAUCCAUCACAGUAGGAGGGACCAAUGUGGGUCAAACUGUGUGCCAGACUGACUCCCUCCAGCUGCCCUGUGGGCUGUCAAGUGCUGUAUAAGGAGCAGCAACCCUGAUAGCUUCAGGUUGCUACUCACAGCACUCCUUGGUCCUGGUAGGCCUUUGGACAUAAUCCAUAUUGGCAUAACCAUCCUAGAAACACUAACUUUCUUUGGCUUCAGUCUUGUAUUUCUGAGCAAUUCUGCAUUUAUGUCAUAGAUUAUUGCCUUAGGCAAGAUUUCUUCUAUGUUUUGCAUAAAACAAAGGUGCUUCAUUGGGAUGGUAGUUCCACCAUUUUUUAAAUGUAGAACUAGUUGAAAAUAAGCAUUUUUUUAAUCCUAAAGGAAAUUCUGGUGUUCUAAAAGCAAUACUGUUUUACCUUGGAAACUGAAAAAGCCAACAAACUGGUGCUAUACUAAGUACUAAUUCUAAUAUUAAUAUAACUAAUUAAUCACUUCACAUUAUUGAUAUAUUUUUCUGUUCAGAUUUAAAGAUAUAAUUGAAAUGAAUUUGACAUUAAUGACUGAAGGAAGAAUGCAUACUUUGAUAGAAAUUAAUUCUGUCAAGUAUUUAAUCUUGUUCUUUCAUGCUAAAUGUCUCUCUUAAGAACAGCAUUAGACAAAGGUCCAGUCUUUCAGAAAAAUCUAGUAAGAAAUCAAUGCUGAUGAAUGAAGACACAGUUAGAAAUCCGAGAUAACCUUAAAACAUCAGUGCAAGUUCAAAUGAAAAUGCUUCUUGACAAGUUUCUAUUAAACUGGUAAACUUCUAUAUUUCAAUGUUUCUGGAAUGUGUUUUCAAAGAACCUGAAGGUGCCUGGUCCAGCUGGGAUGGGAAGCUACCUUCUCUCUUCAGACUUAUUGCAAUAUCUGUGCUAAAGUGCAUAUCUAUAGUGUUUUGCAGAUUCACUAACUAGAGAAAUUGGCCAUCCCAAAGUAUCAUGAAUCUGACAUACCAGGGAGGAGAAGCAAACAGAUGAAGUCACAGAGAGAGGAGAAAGCAUUAAAAAGAGGACUGUUGGAAAUCUGAUUUACCGUGUGAUAUUUGGAGCCUGUUCUGUCUAUUGAAUUUGGCGUGCAUGCUUCUGCUGAUUCAUCACCUGUGAUAAGAAAAUUGAGCUGCAGGAGCACCACUGGUCAAAGAGUCUGUACCAGCACAAUGUGUCCUCACAAUUUGCACUUUUCCUGGUAAAAGACCAUGUAGGUCUUUUGUCACUUUCUGAUGCAAUGCACUACGGGAUGUGAAGUAAUGUAUCACCACGAAAGCAGGUCACACCACAGGCACAGUGGGUACAGUUUUCAGUUUUUCUCUGUGGCAAAAAUGAGGAAUUUAGAACAUAAAACGUGGGGGAAAUUAUGAGAAUUGGACAAUGUCCUUCCCAGUGUGUCAUUCUGACACAUUCUGUUCUCUUAUGCUUGUCACAUCUGUGGGCCCAAGUGUCCCAGUCUGUGGUGGUACCUGUGUCAAUGAACAUGCCCUCUAGCUUGGAUUUCAAAGAGCUGCCCAGUAAAAGAAUAUCCAUCCUGGUGGUGAAACCAUUUUUAGUUAUGCUCUGGCCUGCUGAAAUAAUGAAACUUAUGGAGGAGGAAUCACUUUGCAAGGAAGAGAAAGGGUCCUGCAACAAAGAUCUAAAACUUGAAGUAAUUUGUGAAGCUGUUAAUUUACCACCUGAACUUUAUUAACUGAUUUGGCUCAUCUGAAGAAAUUUCCCUGUAUUUGUAGAUCUAAAGCAAACAAUGGAAGCUGCAAAAUCUUCCCAUAUGAAGGGCAAUUUUUCCAAGUACAGAUAAGAAGAAUGCUGCCAGUGAGCCACCAGGAAAAUUCCAAUCAGACUCUGACUUUUGACAGUGGUUGAAGGGGUGGUUGUGUAGGAGGAAAGCAGGAGAACAGCAGGAUCCUAAGUGACAGUGGGAUAGUGGGAGGUGGAAGAAUUGUCCACCUGCUUUGGAAAUUCAACAUUGGACCACAACGAAGUUUACUGUGAUGUUGGAUAAUGGUGGAGUGCAUUUCCAGUAAAGUAUCAAGAACACAUUAUUCCUGGUGUGUUGGGAUGCCUGAGUUAAGUUUCUUGCAUAUUUAAAUAGAUGUGACCACUUUGGUAGCUCUCCUGGAAGCCAUUUAUUUCUUAAUUAGAAAUUCUAUAAAAGUGUUCAAGAGUACUAUGAAUCUUGAGAGUCUAGACAAAUAAAACAAUUAUAUGAAAUGAAAGAGGCCAAACUGAGUUAUUAAAACACAGUAUCUAAAUUGUUGUAAAGAUAUAGACAGGCCAUUCAUUGAUCAUAUGUCACCUUUUCUUUACAGGAGCAUCCAUCUUUCCCAAGGUGCAAAUAGAUCUUUGCAUUUUCACUUCCACUAAGAGCUUUACAAGGCCACCCUCAAAGGGAACAAGAGAGACAAUCACUGGGAGCACAUAUUUCUGAUUUAACUUGUAUUUUUUAUUAAUACUAAGUUGCUAUUGAAAAAUGAGGUGAAGACCAGUCUGCUUAUAAGAGGAACUUACUAAUGAACAUCUGGCAUGGCAUGUUAAACAAGCCUGCUUCUUCAUUACAAUGUAGAGGGGAGCUUGGGGAGGCACUCAGGACCCUCAAAAGGAAAGACUACAUGUAUACUAAUAAAAUGAUAAAUUCUGAUGUUCUUAGACUCUGCAGCCAGAGCAAACAGAAUAUAUAGCAAUAUAUAACAUUCUUAAAAUAAAAAUCUCCAUCCAAACCACCCGCUGGAAAGGCCACUCCCAUGCCAGGAGAGCCUACUGUUUGGUAGAGGGACCCAUCGCAGGGACCAUACUUGUAGUUUAGCAAGAUGCAGAAGAACAAAUUCCCAUGCUUGGAACCUCUCUUUAAACUGUGUACUCAGCUAGAGAUAUACUAUCAAAGUGUGCAGAAACCUCUGAAGGCUGUUUCCACUGCUAUUUUCUUGGUGUAGCUAUGGCAGGAUGUCCAAACACUUGUUCUUUGUUGUUCUAUAAGAAGGGGUCAAGGAGCCCUUGUCACAUGAAGUUUUUUUCUGAAUCCUUUUCUCUUCUGUGGUCUUUCUUUCUCUUUGUUGUAUUGUGCUCUCAGCAAAAAGAACCCCUCUGACACAAAAGACGGCUUCUCUGUUCUUUGGUUUAGGGAUUUUCCUAUUAUGUGUGUACCUCCCCAGGGAAAAACAGGUUUUCCAUUGGGCUUUUCCUUUAGUUCAAGCACAGUUUGUCCACUGCUAAUGACAUUUUUGUUUGUGUGGUAACACUUUCCAAAAGGGUGGGGAGAGGUGUUGGAAAAUCUUCUGAUGGCUAGCUGUGUAUGGAAGUGUUUAACAACACAACAAUUUCAUAACAAGGAUCAGGAUUAUUUACAUUACCUAACAAAUUCCCCAAAACACCAGGCUACUCUCACAAGGCCUAAUCCUGGCUUAAAGAGCAGCUCUUCACUCUCUGUUCAGCAAAAUGUUCUUUCAUUGUUUAAUUUGAAAUUUUCAGCUAUCUUGUUAAUAUUCAGCUAUCUUGUAUAAAGAAAAUAGAAAAUUUCAGCUAUCUUGUAUAAAUAUGUUCAAGUGGCAUUUCACUACAAAAUGUUGAGACAAUACAUCUUGGGUUUGCUUUGUUUUGGUAGCAGGGGUGCUAUAGGAGUGUCUUCUGUCAGAAGAUUCCAGAAGCUUCCCAUUUGUCCAAUGGAGCCAUGCCAGCCAAAAACAAGACAGACCUGCUGUUGGCCAAAGCUGAGCUGUUCCACUGGAGAGAAAGCAGUGGAGAAAUUGGGAAUGAAUUUGAGCUUAAGAAGGGAAGCACAGAAGAAGAUGUUUUAAGAUUUAUUUUUAAUUCUCAUUGUAUUGCUCUGAUUUAAUUGUUAAUAAAUUAAGCUAAUUUCCCCAA